AUUGAACGCUGGCGGCAGGCCUAACACAUGCAAGUCGCACGAGUGGCGGACGGGUGAGUCAUGUCUGGGAAACUGCCUGAUGGAGGGGGUUAAAUAAUGGAAACGGUAGCUAAUACCGCAUACCAGCAGAUGUGCCCAGAUGGGACGAGCUGGUUGGUGGGGUAACGGCUCACCAAGGCGACGAUCCCUAGGUCGUCUGCGAGGAGGAAUAGGCACACUGGAACUGAGACACGGUCCAGACGCCUACGGGAGGCAGGAGGGGGGAAUAUUGCACAAUGGGCGCAAGCCUGAUGCAGCCAGGCCGAGUGUAUUGAGAAGGCCUUCGGGUUGUAAAGGACUUUCAGCGGGGAGGCGUUACCCGGAGAAGAAGCACCGGCUAACUCCGUGCCAGCCGCCGCGGUAAUAC
rnacentral:rRNA from 1 species